ACACAAAUGCUCUAUCAGCUCCAAGUACCAGGAGCUGAACUACAAAAUUUUAACACGCUGGUACAGAACCCCUGACGUACUCAAUCGCAUGAACGUAGGUGCCCCGGACACCUGCUGGAGAUGCGGCUUGCAUACUGGCACGUACUUCCACAUCUGGUGGCAGUGCCCCGAGAUUACCACAUUCUGGGAGAGGAUCAGGGUAGAGAUAAACAAAAUCACAGAUGCGGAGCUAACCCUAGAACCCCUAACGAUGCUAUUACACCACACCCCCACACCCGUUAAGACAUAUAAGAAAUCCCUCUUGCUGCCACUACUCAACGCGGCAAAGGCCCUUAUCCCAGUGAUGUGGAAACAGAGGGGGGCGCCUACCCUCCAGCAAUGGGUGACAAGGGUGGAAGAAAUCCACUCAAUGGAGUCCUUAACUGCAGACCUACACGGUAGACAGGAGCAAUGUGCACUGACCUGGUACCCUUGGGAAACAUACCUAGCCAACAGAUUAGCAAACCCAAACACGGCCCCCCAGAGGCCCGCAGUUGACCGACUCAUAUAGAGCUAAGCCACCCGGCUACCCCUCCCUCCAAGGUCCCCUACCUCCUGACCCUUUCCCGAGACUG